rnacentral:lncRNA from 1 species
UGGGAUUCCAAUCAACGUAGUGAUAGCAAGAAAAGAAUGUCUAUCCUUCCAGUAGGAGAUGAACUAUUCAUAUUCUCAUCCCAUUCCGUCCACCCACUCACCCACCCAUCCGCCCACAAACCUUUGUUUCCUUUUUCAUAAAGGAGGUAUGUGACCACGCAUCUGCAUAAAGCAUAGGACAGAGACUCAAAAAGUCAAUGACCCCGAAAAUUUUUCAUUCCCCGCCGUCUCGCUCUUUCUAGAGUGGGCGGCAAAGGAAUAAAGGGAGCAUCUCUGCUCAACCCUUCUUUUAACAUUUAUCUUUUUUUCCUGAGAAUAGCAGACGGACCGAGAAAGAUAUGUCUUCUCAUCUAAAGGUAAUAAUGUUCUCAUUCUCAUUUCAAUCAUUACCAGAUAUUUUCCAAUUUGAGAAAUUUCGCAUUUUUUUUCUCAUUCGCUGAUUCAUUCUCUUAGGUUAUGUUGUGAUAAAAAAAACUCGCCGAAAGUAACUACAGCCUGUUUGUUAUUCGAGUGAAAUCGCAAAAUUAUAAGAAUUUGCAUUCUCUUUGUAUGGAUGAUGCAAAAUUUCUUUCUGCUUUGGUUAAAUGUACUCCCAUCUCUCCUUCAUGUAAGAGUUGAGGGAGUAAAAAUAAAUGUCAUAUGUGAAUGAUGUUAAUUUGUUUUGGGAAAAUCUAACUACAGAGAAAGAUAACGCUCUUGAGGGCUAAGAUUAU